GACGAACCGAGCGAACGUUAUUCGGAAUCACUGGGCUUAAAGGGCGCGUAGGCGGGCCGUCAAGUCGAGGGUGAAAUCCCCCAGCUCAACUGGGGAAGUGCCUCCGAUACUGGCGGCCUCGAGGGGGAUAGGGGCAUGCGGAACUUCCGGUGGAGCGGUGAAAUGCGUAGAUAUCGGAAGGAACACCGGUGGCGAAAGCGGCGUGCUGGAUCCCUUCUGACGCUGAGGCGCGAAAGCUAGGGGAGCAAACGGG
rnacentral:rRNA from 1 species